rnacentral:hammerhead_ribozyme from 1 species
AGCCAGCCGACGUGUUCCAAAUAGGACGAAACGUGCGUCCUUGAU